AGGAAGAGAGAAUGCCGGAAUGAGUAGCGAGAUGAAGGUGAGAAUCCUUCAGGCCGAAUAUCUAAGGUUUCCAGAGUAAAGCUGAUCUGCUCUGGGUAAGUCGGGACCUAAGGCGAGGUCGAAAGACGUAGUCGAUGGAUAACAGGUUGAAAUUCCUGUACCGCAUAUAAACAGAACUGUGGGGACACAGACAGGGAAUGGAAUCCGGGGAUGGAGAACCCGGAGCAAGCGAGGUAGGAGUAUCAUUGGCAAAACCGUGAUACUGAUCUGAAGACGUGAUGCGUACCGAACAUAAGUAGGGAAGUCCAGGCCCCUGGCUGUCAAGAAAAGCCGCUAUUGUUUUAUAUGUGCCCGUACCGCAAACCGACACAGGUGGAUGAGGAGAGAAUCCUAAGGCCGACGGGAGAAGUAUUGUUAAGGAACUCGGCAAAAUGACUCCGUAACUUCGGGAGAAGGAGUGCCAUGAGAGUGGCCGCAGAGAAAUGGCCCAAGCAACUGUUUAGCAAAAACACAGGUCUAUGCAAAACCGCAAGGUGAAGUAUAUGGGCUGACGCCUGCCCGGUGCUGGAAGGUUAAGGGGAGAGGUUAGCGCAAGCGAAGCUUUGAACUUAAGCCCCAGUAAACGGCGGCCGUAACUAUAACGGUCCUAAGGUAGCGAAAUUCCUUGUCGGGUAAGUUCCGACCCGCACGAAAGGCGUAAUGAUUUGGGCACUGUCUCAACGAUACACCCGGUGAAAUUGAAAUACCAGUGAAGAUGCUGGUUACCUGCGCCAGGACGGAAAGACCCCAUGGAGCUUUACUCCAGUUUGAUACUGGGAUUCGGCAUGGUAUGUACAGGAUAGGUGGGAGACUGAGAAGGUAUGACGUCAGUUGUACCGGAGUCGCUGUUGGGAUACCACCCUUACCAUGUUGGAUUUCUAACCUGUGGCCGUGAACCGGUCAGGGGACAAUGUCAGGCGGGGAGUUUGACUGGGGCGGUCGCCUCCGAAAGGGUAUCGGAGGCGCUCAAAGGUUCCCUCAGAAUGGUUGGAAACCAUUCGAAGAGUGCAAAGGCAGAAGGGAGCUUGACUGUGACACCGACGGGUGGAGCAGGUACGAAAGUAGGACUUAGUGAUCCGGUGGUAUAAAGUGGGAUUGCCAUCGCUCAACGGAUAAAAGCUACCCUGGGGAUAACAGGCUUAUCACUCCCAAGAGUUCACAUCGACGGAGUGGUUUGGCACCUCGAUGUCGGCUCAUCGCAUCCUGGAGCUGUAGCAGGUUCCAAGGGUUGGGCUGUUCGCCCAUUAAAGCGGUACGCGAGCUGGGUUCAGAACGUCGUGAGACAGUUCGGUCCCUAUCCGGCGCAGGCGGAGGAAAUUUGAUAGGAGCUGUCCUUAGUACGAGAGGACCGGGAUGGACGGACCGCUGGUGUAUCUGUUGUACUGCCAAGUGCAUCGCAGAGUAGCCAAGUCUGGAAGGGAUAAACGCUGAAGGCAUCUAAGCGUGAAGCCCCCCUAAAGAUAAGAUUUCCCAUACCGAAAGGUAGUAAGACCCCUUGAAGACGACGAGGUAGAUAGGGCAGAGGUGGAAGU
rnacentral:rRNA from 1 species